GCACCAAAAGACGAGUGGCGGACGGGUGCGUAACGCGUAUGCAAUCUACCUUUUACUAGGGUAUAGCCCAGAGAAAUUUGGAUUAAUCCCCUAUAAUAUCAUGAAAUCGCAUGGUUUUAUGAUUAAAGCUUCGGUGGUAAAAGAUGAGCAUGCGUCCUAUUAGUUUGUAGGUGAGGUAACGGCUCACCUAGACUACGAUAGGUAGGGGCCCUGAGAGGGGGAUCCCCCACACUGGUACUGAGACACGGACCAGACUCCUACGGGAGGCAGCAGUGAGGAAUAUUGGACAAUGGACGAAAGUCUGAUCCAGCUAUGCCGCGUGCAGGAUGACAGCCCUACGGGUUGUAAACUGCUUUUAUACAGGAAGAAAAACCCCGACGUGUCGGGGCUUGACGGUACUGUAAGAAUAAGGAUCGGCUAACUCCGUGCCAGCAGCCGCGGUAAUACGGAGGAUCCAAGCGUUAUCCGGAAUUAUUGGGUUUAAAGGGUCCGCAGGCGGUUUUUUAAGUCAGAGGUGAAAUCCUACAGCUCAACUGUAGAAUUGCCUUUGAAACUGAAAGACUUGAGUUAUUGUGAAGUGGUUAGAAUGUGUGGUGUAGCGGUGAAAUGCAUAGAUAUCACACAGAAUACCAAUUGCGAAGGCAGAUCAC
rnacentral:rRNA from 1 species